CCCCUCUCAGGACCACAUCUGGAGAGUUUCCAGUACUCUACCAGUCUCGGCUACAGAUGGGGGAGUCAAGCAAAGGUAUACCCAUUCCAUUCCUAGCUUGUACAAUGGCUAGUGAGUGGAAGGCAAUCUGCUAUAAGU